UACGUAGGGUGCAAGCGUUGUCCGGAAUUAUUGGGCGUAAAGAGCUCGUAGGCGGUCUGUUGCGUCGGCUGUGAAAACCCGAGGCUCAACCUCGGGCCUGCAGCCGAUACGGGCAGACUAGAGUUCGGCAGGGGAGACUGGAAUUCCUGGUGUAGCGGUGAAAUGCGCAGAUAUCAGGAGGAACACCGGUGGCGAAGGCGGGUCUCUGGGCCGAUACUGACGCUGAGGUGCGAAAGCUAGGGGAGCAAACAGG
rnacentral:rRNA from 1 species